CCUUUUAUUUUUAUUUUACGUUGUGGAGCGAAAGUUAAGACUUGGUGUAGAUGACGCUUUAAUCGACUGUCCCAAGUUUUUUCAAACUGUCGACUUCCUUAUUUUCAUUUUUUUUUGUCGUUUUCAACUUCACUUUGUUGACGUGGUGUUCAACGGUCAUUAAUGCAUAAAUAUCGUUGUUGACGUCGCGUCAACGCUGCGUUGGAUAACGGCUUUAAAAGAUCAAACCAGUCCACGUUUUAAAAAGCCUAUUUCUGGUGACAAGCUACUGACUAGAACUUACUUACUUUUUAUGGUAUCCUGGGAGACCCUCCAUCCUAGUUAAAUUGAUUCCCAAAGGGAAUGAAUGGGUGACUGUGGUAAAAGCAGGCAUGAGUUGACGCCCCAGUUGUUUCAUUGCGAUCACGUAUUAUAAUAUAAUAAACCUUCAGGAUAAUCAUUGACAGUCAUAUGUAAUUUUAUAAUUAACAUGACAUUCAUAAUUAACAUGACAUAAGGAUAUUCGAGAGGAACUUCCUUCAAGGGUUGAUAGAUUUUUAGCCUUUUCGAUGUCACUACAAAUAUGUAGGUAUUUGUUAGCAGCAUAACAGAUUUUACUGCCCCACUCUCUGCACAAGUUAUUGUCGAAUGUCAAUACACUCUGAAAGUCACAACAACUUCAAUAAAACGCCGGGAUUAUAUGCUGCCUAGGUUGAUAAAUAUCACUUCAGAUAACUUAUCACAAAGAUAAUGCUUAGCGAAGUAACAUGUUUUCACAAUAACAUCCCACGCAGCGGGAGAUCCAACGAACCACCAUAUUAUUAGUUCAGAAAUUAACAAUUUAAAUUACUUAUUAUUUUUGUGAAAAUUUAUAACCUGUGCUGUGUACGUAUUUAAUUACGUUAAUCAAGAUUACAGUUUUGAAUUACCUACAUUAUAAAUUAAAGUUGAAUCAAAUAAUUUUAAUACGCAGCGAUGGCGCCUCGGCAGGACAUCGUAGCCCAGCCACAGCCGAUCAGAAUAGAGCAGGGGAGGCAGCCCCCACCGCCCCCGGCUCCCGGGCGCCUCCAGCGACCCCCGCACGACAACCCCACCGUCUAUAUAAACAGGCCCACGAAUAUACCUCGCAACAAUGUCAACACCAGUGAAAUCGCUCGCACGUAGGAAAAUAUACUCAAUGACAACAAAAUUGUAUUUUCAGGCUAGACGGGACAUUCACGAACUUUUUUUCUAUUUUCAUUAAGAAUUUUCAUGGCUAAAAGGCUCUUAUCUCACUUGAAUUAAAAGUAAACUUUCAUUGCGUUCCUAAAUAAUUUUAUUGAAAGGAAAAUAAAUUGUUUCUGGUUCGUCGACCGUCGUUAACGUUUUGAUAGAGAAUCUACCGUUUUAACGCAAUGUUAAUAAAUUAUUUUUUUUGUUCACUGCAUGCACUGUUUCUAGUUUUCUAGGUUGUCUUCUAUAAAGUAAGGACUUUGUUUCUACUGACGCGAUUUAAGUGCAUUGGACAUUAUUCUAUUUCGCAAUUUGUUCUUUUAGAACAAAAUGAUUCACGAACUCUGUAAAAAAAAUUCAAAAAGCUAUACCUAUGUUGUUCCUUCUUAAAUUACUAGUAGAUAAUUUCUAGUUACACUUCUCAGAGUCAGCAUUUUAGAAAAUUAAAUCUUAUUAAAAAACAAACAAUUGCAAAAAAGCUUCUUUCUGGAUAUUUUUUUGUCUAAACCACUCUCGGCCCGUUUGGUAAAAUUAUUUGUAACUCUCAAUUUUCAAAAAUUCUAACCGAUAAAUAGAUACUUAGUGUUAAUUUUACCAAUAUGUAAUCGUGAUCGGUGAUCGUAACCACUAAUUUGAAAGUAGGUAAUAUAAUAUUGUAUUUAAAUACAUAUUUACCUUAUAUCAAUAAUGUAGUUUUUAAUUAGUUUAAGAUAAAUAAGACCUAGUUACUGUAUAUAAUUAGAAAUAGGUAUCUAAAAUAAUAAUAUCUGAAUAAAUUAUGGUUGUAAUUUAAA